rnacentral:rRNA from 1 species
CGGACGGGUGAGUAACACGUGAUAACCUACCUAUAAGACUGGGAUAACUUCGGGAAACCGGAGCUAAUACCGGAUAAUAUUUUGAACCGCAUGGUUCAAAAGUGAAAGACGGUCUUGCUGUCACUUAUAGAUGGAUCCGCGCUGCAUUAGCUAGUUGGUAAGGUAACGGCUUACCAAGGCAACGAUGCAUAGCCGACCUGAGAGGGUGAUCGGCCACACUGGAACUGAGACACGGUCCAG